AAGGACUGACGUAUUUCUGUCAAAACUAAGAAGAAGGUGGAUAAGUGCAAUGAAGAGAGAUGGACCAUGAUGGGAGAUUACACCAGCUUUUAGUUUGGUUGCCAAGUUGUUAAUAAAGUCAACAUUGUGAAGAAAUGAAGUUUAAAGUCUAUACAAUGAAAACAAAAUUUCUUGAGAAAUGACAUGUACUACGGUAUUGGAAACUUUAUCUUCCUGUCAAAGCUGAUGCAGUAAAGUCAACUGAACAAGAUAAUAACAUAUCUCUUGUAAAGGUGGAAGAUCUCUACAGUGAAUGGGAACAGAAGAUGGCAUAGGCUGUCAGAAAAAAUUAAAACAAGGAAUAUGUCUGUUCAUAAAUUUGAUGACGUGAAUUCAAACUACACAUAAUGUUGUGAUAGAUGAACACCUUGAAGAACAUUUUAUUUUCUUAUUUGAAAGAAACAUUUUGGAAGCAGAUUUUAUAUCCUUCUCUAUAAUGUUUCUGUCUAUCUAUACCUACAUAUUUAUAUUUAAUUCUUUGCGUCUGUAUAGGGUCAAGACUUAUUUCACAUUCAAGACUUUCCCUGUAUUAUUUGACUGUUCUCAUCUUUAAACAGGUUUAUCUGAAGAUAUGAUAUUCUAGAAAAUUCUAGGCAAUAUACAAUGGCAAAAUUGCCAUUUUUUCUUAAAUAUGUGGAUAAUUUGGAUUAUUAUUUGAAUUAAUCUACCAAGUUUCCCUAUUCAAAGGACUCAGUGAGAUGUGAAAGACAUGAUUUUCCUUGGUCUAUCUGAUGCUGAAGAAAAGCUUGAAUUUCUCUCUGUCACAUCUCAUCUGAGACUCCCAACUGCUAGAUAAAUUAAUAUUACUCUUCAGUUUUACUGAAGAAUUUGGAUCUCAGGGGGAAAUUUUGGUGCCAGAACCUAAGUUUUUUAAGCAAAUGGUCAGUUCAAAGCUCCUAAGAACUCUUGCUUCUAGCACAGCAGUUUGUUUAUUUUAUUUUAUUUUGAAACCUUAUACUGGAUUAGUGGACCUAUUUAAUAAUGGUAAUUACAUAAUUUGGUCUUUGAAUUAGAUAUAUGUUCCCAUUUCAAUGUGACUGUUCUUUUCCACAUUUUUAUUUCCUUCUGCAAGGGAGGGUAUGGCUGGUCAUUUAGAUGAUAUGGUUUUUGUCAUCUCUUGGAUCAGUGACUUAAUCAUAGGAUUUCAUUUUAAAGAGGACUCGCAGGUCUGCUAAUGCCAACAAUAAGAUGACCUGGUAAUAUUCAGAGUUCAAAGUUUAAUCGCAGUAGAUCAAUCAUCACGAAGUUCAAAGAGCAUUAUUAAGCAAGCUGCAUAUUCUAGGUCUUGAGGCAAUAUAGAAUUAAUUGUCAGGAAAACAGUGGAAAAGGAAAGCACUUUAAUCUUCUUGUCCUCAGUGUGACACACGUCAGGUUUUGAAAUAUGCAACAUGAUGUCAUAGCUGCAGAAAGAGAGUCCAAUUUAGCCAAAGAGAAGGUGCAAAGUGACCUGGUAGAGCUUUUUUAGUAUUAAUAUUAUUUUGAAGUUAAUAAACCAAGUGAUAUUUAAAGGUGUAGUAUCCAAAUUUUGUUUCCAAAUUUUUGCUACAAACUCUGAAGAUAUUUAUUGAUACUAAUUCUUUUUUUUUUCCCUCAUGGUCAGAUAAUUGAGUAUUUUAGAAUAUUAAUUCUCUUUGAAAGUUCACAUUAAUGAGUUCAUAUUAAGGAAUUAAGACUGAAUUCAUCUCAGUAUUAAAAAAGAAACUAUGGUAUUUCUUACAAUGGAGUACAUCUCCAACACCUGUGAAUCUCCAGAUGUGUGUCUAAGCAAACUUUUAAACUAACUGUGCUGUAUACACGCGUGAAACAAAGCUAACUAGUAAAACAGAUGAAAGUGUAAAGAGUCUUGACUUUGGUAAUAUAGUGACAUGUCUUUGGAGUCUUGAAAGGGGAAAACUCUUAGAAAUAAAUGUGAUGAUGAUUUAAUCAAACUUUAAUUUACUUUUGCUUUGUAUUGUUUUCUUCAUGAUACCUGGGAUUAUCCAAUAUGUGUCCAAUAAGCACUAUGGUUUUCUAAGAUGAAAUUGCAUGAAUGACA